GGACUACCAGGGUAUCUAAUCCUGUUUGCUCCCCACGCUCUCGCGCCUCAGCGUCAGUCUCAGUCCAGAUAGUCGCCUUCGCCACUGGUGUUCCUUCCGAUAUCUACGCAUUUCACCGCUACACCGGAAAUUCCACUAUCCUCUACUGCACUCCAGUCAACCAGUAUAAGCUGCAAUUCCUAGGUUAAGCCCAGGGUUUUCACAGCUCACUCAAUCAACCGCCUACGCGCCCUUUACGCCCAGUAACUCCGAUUAACGCUCGCACCCUCUGUAUUACCGCGGCGGCUGGCAC
rnacentral:rRNA from 2 species